rnacentral:rRNA from 1 species
GAUUUCUGGAUGGCUGUGCUAGCCCGCUGGCUUUCGGGUCGGUGAGCGCCGGUACGAGUCAUUCAUCUUUGUAGGGAGCCUGGUCUGCCCUUUUUUGGGUGGGUCUGUGCGAACUACAUCAUUUACUUUGAAAAAAUUAGAGUGUUCAAAGCAGGCUUGCGCUAUGAAUACAUUAGCAUGGAAUAAUAAUUUAGGACUCCCGUUCUAUUUUGUUGGUUUCUAGGAUGGAAGUAAUGAUUGAUAGGGAUAGUUGGGGGUGCUAGUAUUCAGAGGCCAGAGGUGAAAUUCUCGGAUUCUCUGAAGACUAACUUAUGCGAAAGCAUU